UCGGGUGGUGGACAGUGGCGCACGGGUGAGUAACACGUGGGGACCUACCUGAUAGUACGGGACAACAGUUGGAAACGACUGCUAAUACCGCAUACGCCCUUCGGGGGAAAGGCUUCGGCCACCGCUUGAGGAUCCCGCGUCCGAUUAGCUAGUUGGUAGGGUAAUGGCCUACCAAGGCGACGAUCGGUAGCUGGUCUGAGAGGAUGAUCAGUCACACUGGAACUGAGACACGGUCCAGACUCC
rnacentral:rRNA from 1 species